rnacentral:antisense_RNA from 1 species
AAUGCCAUGAGCCAUGUCUUGUGAUGGGCACCCCAUGACCACGUGUGAAAAUGCUGACUCACCUCCUAUGCUGCUGACAUUCACCAGCCUCCCUUUGGAUUUUCUAAGAAGAGGCAAAAAUGUCUUUGUGACCUCCACAGUUCCAAAGAAGUUCACGGCCAUGCAUUGUUUGUAGUCAGUCAUAGGAAGAAGCUCCCCAUCAGUUGGAAAGCCAAGCACCCCAGCAUUGUUGAUCACAGCCCACAGUCCUGGAGACAGAAAACCAUAAUGAGUGAGUGUCUGGAAGAGGAAGUGAAUAACACAACCUGCAAUACCUGGAAGACCAUGCAAGAGGUGUUACAUGUGAGCCAGGUCUCCUGGGGGAUUAGAGUCUGCCACUGGACAAAGACGUUUCCACUCGCAAUAUUAGUAAAUGUAGAGUUUGCCUCUACUGACUGUCAGUUGAGCAUCUUGGUUAAGACUCAUACUGCCUGAUUCUCCUCUUCCACUCACGAGCCUUGGGAAAGUCACAUAUAACCAUGUCGAACCUCCACUUCCUCACAUGGAACCAGGAGAACCAAAUGACAACUCGGAGGAAAUGAUCAGGACUGAGAAGGAGAGGAGAAAAUCCAAGAGGCCAGACCCUCACGUGGACCCUGUCCUCUCUUCCUUACAACCUCCCAGCCUAUAAACACCUGUGCUAAGCCCAGCUGCCCAGUCCAGGCCCCAUCUGUGGGUGAGGCCUGAGACUUUUCGACCUUGCCUUGGCUGAGCAAUGUUAUUACCACAUGCCUAAGACCCGUGCUC